UACGUAGGGGGCGAGCGUUGUCCGGAUUUAUUGGGCGUAAAGAGCUCGUAGGCGGUUCGAUAAGUCGGACGUGAAAUCUCCACGCUCAACGUGGAGGGGCCGUUCGAUACUGUCGUGACUCGAGUCCGGUAGGGGAGUGUGGAAUUCCCGGUGUAGCGGUGAAAUGCGCAGAUAUCAGGAGGAACACCUAUUGCGAAGGCAGCUCGCUGGGACGUAACUGACGCUGAGACGCGAAAGCGUGGGGAGCGAACAGG
rnacentral:rRNA from 1 species